CCUACGGGUGGCAGCAGUGAGGAAUAUUGGUCAAUGGACGAGAGUCUGAACCAGCCAAGUAGCGUGAAGGAUGACUGCCCUAUGGGUUGUAAACUUCUUUUAUAUGGGAAUAAAAUGUUCCAAGUGGGGGAUUUUGUAUGUACCAUAUGAAUAAGGACCGGCUAACUCCGUGCCAGCAGCCGCGGUAAUACGGAGGAUCCGAGCGUUAUCCGGAUUUAUUGGGUUUAAAGGGAGCGUAGGUGGAUGGUUAAGUCCGUUGUGAAAGUUUGCGGCUUAACCGUAAAACUGCAGUUGAAACUGGUAGUCUUGAGUACAGUAGAGGUGGGUGGAAUUCGUGGUGUAGCGGUGAAAUGCUUAGAUAUCACGAAGAACUCCGAUUGCGAAGGCAGUUCACUGGACUGCAACUGACACUGAGGCUCGAAAGUGUGGGUAUCAAACAGGAUUAGAUACCCUUGUAGUC
rnacentral:rRNA from 1 species